CCCUUAGAUGUCCUGGGCUGCACGCGCGCUACACUGGAAGUUACGGAUUGAGAUACUACCUUGUCCGAAAUGGUCCGGGUAAUCACCUAAAAGCUUGUCAUAAUUGGAAUGGAUUAUUGUAACUAGUAAUCCUGAACGAGGAAUUCCUAGUAAGUCCCAGUCAACAGCUGGUACUGAUUACGUCCCUGCCCUUUGUACACACCGCCCGUCGCUACUACUGAUUGGACGUUUAAGCAAGAUUUUUAAACACUGACAGUGUGUAGUUCACGCUAUACUACAGUGGGAAGAAGAAGAUCGAGCUUACUUGUCUAGAGGAAGUAAAAGUCGUAACA
rnacentral:rRNA from 1 species